GAGCAAGGACGUCGAUUUUAUAUCUAUGAUGAAAACUUGCAUUGAAGGUUGGCAAUAUUGAAGUGAUUCUCCGUGCCAUUCAUCUCUUUGGGUUUUGAUUGCGGCCUCGAACAAAUCGCUACAUU